GGGAUGUCAAAUUUCGAUUAUUUCCAUGAUCGAUCGUCGUUUAAAUUAACGAUCAAUUAAUCGAUUAAUCGUUAACCAUAAUACUGCAAAAUGCGUCUAUUGCAGGCACGCAGUCAGCGGUAUGACAGGAUGUGCAAAAGCCACACACACACACAAAACGCUUUCUCACUUGAAUUAAAGAGGUUUUAGUCUGAAUAAAAUGCUAGUAGCAGGAUUAUAAAAUGAAUAGAUGCGAUUAUGAUCAUUUGAUAAAAUGAAGAGAGCGCGCCAUACUUUUGAGGUCAUUUUACUUUGUUGACAGUUUCCAAUCCCGCACGGAGAACGCUGAACGCGCCUCUUUAAAUGGUUUUGUGGUGCUCGUUGUUGUAUUUUAAAGCACAAUUGCAAUGUUUUCAACUGACAUUAUUGUAUUUAAAAUAAAAUUAUCCGAAAUGUGGAGCGCGUGUGACUGCGCUGCACAUUAAGUGAACUACAUCGGCGCUGCUGCACCAAAACACACUGUUGCUCACAUUAAUUUGAUCCUGCUGGAUUCUGUCCUAGAAAAUGUCAGAUUUUUAAAAAUCCGGCAUACAGCGCAUUAGAUCGUGACAGUGCAUGCGUGCAGACGAGGAUGAGCGAGCGCGGCUUUGGCUAGAUUUAUUUGGAGGUUAUUGCUCAUGUCUCAUUCGGCACAAAUCGAAAUGUUUCCAUAUUCGCAAUGUAUUUGAAUGUUAAACUAUUAUUUAUAAUGUAAACUAGGCUUGUACUUAACACGCAUUCGCAUAUAGACGGAAAAGAUGAUCCUCUUCAUAUGAGCAAAAACGUCCUUGGCAUAACAGCAGAGUGGACCGGUAUACUACGGUCUAUUUAAACUGAAUGCUCCAGGAAUGUGUCGGUCACAGCGCCUAUUAAUCGCUGUUUUGAAUCCAGCAAUUAUUUAUUUAGAAAUGAUAAGAUCUGAUUAUGACAAGUGUGGUAUAAAAGCUUUGUUUAUUAGAGGAAUAAUAGGUUAACUGGAAAAUGUUAGAUCGUGACCAUGCUUUUGGACCCCAUAGUCUUCAUUUACGCGGCUUUGUUCUGGUUUGCCGGUUGGUCACGAAUUUCCACAAAUUCAGUAUAUUUAGGCAUUGUUUCUUUUCCUAAAUCUUCAUAGUCUAACCCUCUAAUUUCCCAGGUUUAUUUUAUUAUCUUUCGCUUUUAAUAACUGUUUUCGCAUCUCUUACUGUGGUAAACAUGGGAAGGGAAAUUAAAGAUUUCAUGAAUUAAGAAUUCGUUCGAUUUAUUAAUUUGUUCCCUUAUUUCACUUAAAUCAUGGGUUAUUUAGGGAACAAAAUUAAUGAAACAUGGACAAUUGCCACAUUAAUAAUUCGUAGGAAUGAAUUAACAAGUUGUAGGAAUGAAUAGACUACCUGUCCUGUCACUGUGUCCCGCAGCCCUGCAAAGCGCACGAUAUAAAACAGUUAUCUGAUGAAAUGAUUAGUAACUACAUUUCUAUUGCAUUUAAUGUUGAAAAACUUUUAUGUUGUUUCUAUUUUAAUGUACUUUAAAGUUUAAAUCACAUUAAAAGCUUAAUUUGUACAUUGUGAAUGAAUGAUGAUGCUUUUAUAUAUCGUCACCGUCACUCACAGCCGCUCGCACGUGUUGAUGCGCAUGAGCCGCACGCAGCCCAACAUUGAAUCGGUUAACCGACCAUCGACAGCCUUAAUCGAUUGCAUCUCUUAUCGACAAUUAAUCGAUCAUCGAUUAAUCGUUGACAUCCCUAGUUUAAACC